rnacentral:rRNA from 1 species
GGACUACUGGGGUAUCUAAUCCCGUUCGCUCCCCUAGCUUUCGCCCCUCAGCGUCAGGUACCAGCCAGGACACUGCCUUCGCCUUUGGUGUUCUUCCGGAUAUCUACGCAUUUCACCACUACACCCGGAGUUCCAUGUCCCUCUCUGGUCCUCAAGUCCGCUCGUCUUCGCACCGCUCUCCCAGUUAAGCCAGGAGCUGUCAGCGCAAACGUGGCGGACCGCCUGCGGGCGCUUUACGCCCAGUAACUCCGGACAACGCUCGUCCCCUACGUAUUACCGCGGCUGCUGGCAC